rnacentral:rRNA from 1 species
UACGGGGGGAGCAAGCGUUGUUCGGAUUUACUGGGCGUAAAGGGCGCGUAGGCGGCCAGCACAAGUCAGUUGUGAAAUCUCCGAGCUUAACUCGGAAAGGUCAACUGAUACUGUGCGGCUGGAGUGCGGAAGGGGCAACUGGAAUUCUUGGUGUAGCGGUGAAAUGCGUAGAUAUCAAGAGGAACACCUGCGGCGAAGGCGGGUUGCUGGGCCGACACUGACGCUGAUGCGCGAAAGCCAGGGGAGCGAACGGG